rnacentral:misc_RNA from 1 species
CUGGGGGAUUGAUUUGAUAAUACAAACCAAACAUGAUUUUUUUGGGUACUUCCCAAAAAGUUCUAUUUCUUUAAUCUACUUUACCCCCAACCAAAAUAAACCUAGUUACUAAUACAGCAUGAAAGGGGUAUUUUUAAUUAUUUCACAUCAAUUUCUAUUUUUAUUUUGUGGGAUUGGAUGUACAUGGAAUGAUCAUUGUACUAUCUAUAUGGCCAAGUUUAUACAUCAAUAUGAAUGA